CUUGAUUGGAUUGAAGGACGCAAAGUA
rnacentral:piRNA from 1 species